rnacentral:lncRNA from 1 species
AACCAAACAGGACAAGCCUACAACAUGACUUCCAAAGGGUGGCAUGUAUGUUAGAAGCGCCCUGCAUUCCGCUAAGGUACAGCUUGUUAGCUAUUUGGACGGAACAGUCUUUUUUGCGUUUUUUUCCGAGUACCUCUUACACUGCUUGUCCUGCGCAUCCUUUACAUGUACUACGGCUAAGGGAUCCCUUCCGGAUGAUGAAGAAUGUGCUUUAUGCUGGACCAAUUACACAUCACGAUCAGCAUCGAUUAAGCGGCUCCAGGAGCUGGUACCAGCUGGUACCGGCCGGUGCUUAGGGCCCGAUCCGCCGCCGGGAGGACGACUUCCUGAGGCAAACACGACGGACAUCCCGAACGGUGCUUACAUCCGUGUUAUGGAAAUUGCUCUUACGUGUGUGGACCGGACGGAUGGACAUGAGGCAACGUUUUGCAUCACUUGUUUCUUGGCCGCAAGCAGCAACGUAGUGAAGGACAUGGACGCGCAUGCACAGGCCAUGGAAUGGUAUGUCUAAAUCAUGGAUGGCGACGUUCAACUCUCAGAAUGGUGAUUUCUGCCUUUGGGUUCAAUUCUGAACCUGGAAUGCUGCUGGCUCUGCCCGUACCGGAAAAGUGCUUUCCGGUACGGCGGUGUCAGGAGGUGGUAUGUACGUCGUCUUAGGGGCAACCCUAAGACCAAGGGGAUGAACGAAUAGAGAUAUACUUUCUGUUUCUUGGCUGCAGCAAGUGUUGUCCUGGGCGCAACGUUGAUGGCCUGAUGCCGACGCGACCUCCUUUACGACAAUGCUAGGCAAACGCAGCGGAUGUUCAUGAAUUACUUAAGCGUUCAUAUUACUCGUCACAGCUUCAACGGCACUGUACUGGGCGGAUGUAAGACGUGCGUUGGUGGACGCGAUGGCCUUACGAAGGGGGAGAAAGACGCUUAGGAGAUGCUUGGAUUGUUAUGUACAAGUCACGGACGGGGACGUUUAACUCUAUGAAUGCUGAGUUUUAGCUACUAGUCGGGUUUUUUGAACUUCGCUGUUGUUGGUUCCGCCCGUACAGGAAAAGUGUCUUCUGAUACGGCGGUCACAGCAGGUAGUAUCCACGUCGACUUGUAUGCAAACCNAAAUACAACGAAACCAGGGGAUGAUAUGACAGUUUUGGAAUGCUUGUUUCUUGGCCGCAAGCAGCAGCAUACUUAAAUCGCGUUGGGCCAUUUGCCCAGGCUGCCGCGAGGACGACAAGCCAGGCUAAUGCAGCUGGUGUCCAUGAUUGGAUCAUUACGUGCUGAAUAUGAAAGAUUGCUACGAAGACUCUGACCCUGACGAACGUAAAAUGUGAUGUUCGUAAGGAAGAAAACAGACGCAUAUCCAAGGCAUGGAGCUGUUUGUAGGGAAACCGUAAAUGAAGGUUUAAGGAACUGAACGAUGAAUUCUGCCGGUGUGGUCGGUUCUGGAUCUCUUAUGUUGCUCGUCACGCUCCUAAGGAAAAUGUACAUUUGUUGCAGGAGGGAGUCUGUGUGUCAAGUCGUAGUCAAACCUUUUUCAAAGGGGAUGAGCACACACACAGCUUGCAUUCCAUGUUCACUAACGUCAGCCCACAGUAAGCUACUGGGCUAGACUUGGAGGGUCCGACCGGGGCAACUCGUUGCUGUGGACUUGUAGGCAAGUCAAGUAGGGCUAUGGAAUGCUAGGACAAUGUUAUUAUGUUUGUGUUAUAGGCUUGGGUAGGAAUUCUUAAGCAAUACGUUGAGUGGCUUUUCCGCCGGCGGGAGGACGACAAUCCCAUGCAAACAGGACGGAUGUUCCGAAUGUUGCUUACAUUCAUGUUGUCGAAGCUCGCGACGACGGCUCUGGACAGGACGGAUGUCAAGUGUGCGUUGGUGGACGUGAUGGCAACGUAGUGAAGGACACGGACGCGCAUGCACAGGCCAUGGAAUGGUAUGUCUAAAUCAUGGAUGGCGACGUUCAACUCUCAGAAUGGUGAUUUCUGCCUUUGGGUUCAAUUCUGAACCUGGAAUGCUGCUGGCUCUGCCCGUACCGGAAAAGUGCUUUCCGGUACGGCGGUGUCAGGAGGUGGUAUCUACGUCGUCUUAGGGGCAACCCUAAGACCAAGGGGAUGAACGAAUAGAGAUAUANNNNNNNNNNNNNNNNNNNNNNNNNNNNNNNNNNNNNNNNNNNNNNNNNNGUACCGUUACCACGUCCGAACCGACCACUUUUUCCAAAAAGUUUCAACGUAACGUAGCAUGUGAACUGGCUAUUACAGCGCUAGCCGUCAGCGAUUUCUGGCUUACCAGGGUCUCAAGAUCUAGGACCUCUUUUCCGAAAGCACUGAAAGGAGUUUUGCAACGUUAUGUAAUCUUUUCGGGGACUUUCCAUGGACCUGCCGGCGAAGUAAGGGAAUGAUAUGCGCACGCCGCCGAAUAACUAAUUAUCAGUAAACAGUUAACCUGCAGGUAUCGCGUUGAACUUCUUAAUGCAAUGCCAACAUAAACCAAACAGGACAAGCCUACAACAUGACUUCCAAAGGGUGGCAUGUAUGUUAGAAGCGCCCUGCAUUCCGCUAAGGUACAGCUUGUUAGCUAUUUGGACGGAACAGUCUUUUUUGCGUUUUUUUCCGAGUACCUCUUACACUGCUUGUCCUGCGCAUCCUUUACAUGUACUACGGCUAAGGGAUCCCUUCCGGAUGAUGAAGAAUGUGCUUUAUGCUGGACCAAUUACACAUCACGAUCAGCAUCGAUUAAGCGGCUCCAGGAGCUGGUACCAGCUGGUACCGGCCGGUGCUUAGGGCCCGAUCCGCCGCCGGGAGGACGACUUCCUGAGGCAAACACGACGGACAUCCCGAACGGUGCUUACAUCCGUGUUAUGGAAAAUUGCUCUUACGUGUGUAGACCGGACGGAUGGACAAGAGGCAACGUUUUGCAUCACUUGUUUCUUGGCCGCAAGCAGCAACGUAGUGAAGGACAUGGACGCGCAUGCACAGGCCAUGGAAUGGUAUGUCUAAAUCAUGGAUGGCGACGUUCAACUCUCAGAAUGGUGAUUUCUGCCUUUGGGUUCAAUUCUGAACCUGGAAUGCUGCUGGCUCUGCCCGUACCGGAAAAGUGCUUUCCGGUACGGCGGUGUCAGGAGGUGGUAUCUACGUCGUCUUAGGGGCAACCCUAAGACUAAGCCCAAUGGCAUACUCCAGGCCGGUUCCGGCCCGGUUCCGACCUAACGGGUCCAGUUAACGAGAUGGGUAACCGGUCGGUAGG